rnacentral:rRNA from 1 species
UACGUAGGGUGCAAGCGUUGUCCGGAAUUAUUGGGCGUAAAGAGCUCGUAGGCGGUCUGUCGCGUCGGCUGUGAAAACCCGGAGCUCAACUCCGGGCCUGCAGUCGAUACGGGCAGACUGGAGUACUGCAGGGGAGACUGGAAUUCCUGGUGUAGCGGUGAAAUGCGCAGAUAUCAGGAGGAACACCGGUGGCGAAGGCGGGUCUCUGGGCAGUUACUGACGCUGAGGAGCGAAAGCGUGGGGAGCGAACAGG